ensembl:lncRNA RABGAP1L-DT RABGAP1L divergent transcript
AGGUGUCUGUGUGCUUGUGAAGCGCUCCCUUGUUAGUUCCUUCUGUGAGACUCGGGGGAGACUGAAGAGGGAAAUCACCUGCGGGGAAUGAACAGGAAAGCAAUAAGAAGAUUUGGAAAAGAGGCACUGGCUACUGGAGGAAGGGAGAAAUCACCGAGAGAGCGAAAGAUGUAACAGGUAAAACUGGAGAUACAGAAGAAAACCUUUUUUAUUUCACGGUUUUAUGUAGGGCUGAAAUUCAGAGUAAUCUGGACAAGUCAUAAUGAGCUUAUAUGAUAAACCAAACCUGUGUUGCAAUCGCCCAUUUAAGACUAAGAACACAAUAAAAUAUGUAUAUAGGGAGCAGAAAAUUUCCUCAGCAGUAGAAGAGGCAGGCAGAGAUCUAAAUGCCUGUUUUAUUUUAUUUUUUUGAGACAGAGUUUCACUCUUGCUGCCCAGGCUGGAGUGCAGUGGCGCAAUCUCGGCUGACUGCAACCUCCGCCUCCCGGGUUCAAGCAAUUCCCCUGCCUUAGCCUCCGGAGUAGCUGGGAUUACAGGCACGCACCACCAUGCCCAGCUAAUUUUUGUAUUUUUUUAGUAGAGACAGCGUUUCGCCACAUUGGCCAGUCUGGUCUCGAACUCCUGACCUCAGGUGAUCCACCCGCCUCAGCCUCCCAAAGUGCUGGGAGGGAUUAAAGGCAUGAGCCACUGCGCCUGGCCCUAAAUGUCUCUUGAGGAAGAAUAGCUAGCCUACUACUUUUAUUUCUUUUAUUUUUUAUAUUUUUUAUUUUUUGAGACAGGGUCUCACUCUGUCACCCAGGCUGGAGUGCAGUGGUGCGAUCUUGGCUCACUGCAACCUCCACCUCCCGGGUUCAAGUGACUCUCCUGCCUCAGCCUCCCAAGUAGCUGGGAUUAUAGGUGCCCACCACCACACCUGGCUAAUUUUUGUAUUUUUAGUACAGACGGGGUUUCACCGUGUUGGCCAGGCUGGUCUCAAACUCCUGACCUCAAGUGAUCUGCCCACCGUGGCCUCCCAAAGUGCUGAGAUUACAGGCAUGAGCCACCAUGCCCAGCCUCUACUACUUUUAGAAUUUGAUACUUAAUGUAAAGGACACCUACCAAAAAUGGUUUUUCCCAUACAUUAUGGUAGGUGUCUGAAAUUCAUCUCACCAUAGGAGUCCUUUUCUUUUAUGUGGGGCAGUGAUCCUCUGUAGUGUAUAACAAAAUCACCUUGGGAGUUUAUAAAAAUGCAUAUCUCUAUGCUCAACCCCCAAGAAAUUCAGUACCUCUAAGAUAGGCCCCAGGACUUGUUUCAACUUUUUCUUAUAAAAAAUGUUUAAGCACAUAAAAAGUAGAGAGAAGAGUAUAAUGAGCCUUCAUGAGUCAGUCAUUCAGCUUGAACAAUUAUCAAUAUGUGGCCAAUCUCCUUCCCCACCCCUCACAUGGAUAUCACCCAUAAAUACUUCAUCAUAUAAAGCUCUAAAAGAUAAGAAUUCUUGACCAGGCAUGGUGGCUCAGGCCUGUAAUCCCAGCGUUUUGGGAGACCGAGGCAGGAGGAUUGCUUGAGCCCAGGAGUUUGAGACCAGCCUGGGAAACAUAGCUAGACCCCAUCUCUACAAAAAAUUUAAAAAUUAG